GCACCGCCGGCGCAUUGGGGCAUGGCCUCCCUGCGUCGGAGCGAGGGCCGGGCCACCCGACUGCGAAGCGCAGGCGGGCCACCUCAGCAGCAGAGGGCACAGGAGCCCGGCCUCCCGGCGUUGGAGCGGGGGCCGGGCCACCCCGGCGGCGGAGCACGCAGGGAAAAGCUUGGACGUAGAUCGUGGACUGUGCACCCAGUGCAGCAACUACUAUGUGUCUUGAUGCCUCUUGUGAGCAUGAAUCAACAGUCAGCCAAGACAAAAGAGGAAGAGGGCCUUCUCUGAAUUGGAUAUUGUGGAUAAAGAAUCUGUAUCUGCUGAAUGGCAGCGAGAAAUGAAAUCUUGUGAGCAUUUUGUGAUUCUUGUGUAGCCUUGUGAAAUGAAAUCAUGUAAUUGUUGUGUAAUCUUGUGAUCCUUGUGACUUGUCAAAUGAAUUCUUGAUUCUUGUGUAAUGAAAUCUUGUGAUUGUUGUGACUCUUGUAAAA